rnacentral:rRNA from 1 species
UUACUCUGAGACGUGGUACCGAGCCGCUUCAGGCGAAGUCAUUAAUCCUAUGCUGCCUAGAAAAGCCCAGUAGCGAGUUGACAUGGUGCCCGUACCCCAAACCAACACAGGUGGACAGGUAGAGCAUACCAAGGCGAGUGGGAUAACUAUGGUUAAGGAACUCGGCAAAUUUCCUCCGUAACUUCGGGAUAAGGAGGACCCCAGUAGCGUGACGAGACUUGCUCUCCGAGCGUGAAGGGGUGGCACAAAAUUGAGGGAAGCGACUGUUUACCAAAAACACAGCAGCGUGCUAAGCCGUAAGGCGCUGUAUACGCUGUGACUCCUGCCCGGUGCUGGAAGGUUACGGGGAUGGGUUAGUCCUUUGGGACGAAGCUCUGAACCUAAGCCCCAGUAAACGGCGGCCGUAACUAUAACGGUCCUAAGGUAGCGAAAUUCCUUGUCGGGUAAGUUCCGACCUGCACGAAUGGAGUAACGACUUCCCUACUGUCUCAACCAUAGACCCAGCGAAAUUGAAGUACGAGUAAAGAUGCUCGUUAGCUGCAGAAGGACGGAAAGACCCCGUGGACCUUUACUAUAAUUUGAUGUUGUGUUUUGUCAUAUGUUGUGUAGGAUAGGUGGGAGACAAGGAAGCAUGGACGCUAGUCUGUGUGGAGUCAUCGUUGAAAUACCACCCUGCAUAUGGUGAGGCUCUAACCUAGACCCGUUAUCCGGGUUGGGGACAGCGUCAGGCGGGUAGUUUAACUGGGGCGGUUGCCUCCUAAAGAGUAACGGAGGCGCCCAAAGGUUCCCUCAGCCUGGUUGGCAAUCAGGCGUCGAGUGCAAUGGCAAAAGGGAGCUUGACUGCGAGACCUACAAGUCGAGCAGGAGCGAAAGCUGGGCAUAGUGAUCCGGCGGUUGCGUGUGGAAGCGCCGUCGCUCAACGGAUAAAAGGUACCCCGGGGAUAACAGGCUAAUCUUGCCCAAGCGUCCAUAGCGACGGCAAGGUUUGGCACCUCGAUGUCGGCUCAUCGCAUCCUGGGGCUGAAGCAGGUCCCAAGGGUUGGGCUGUUCGCCCAUUAAAGCGGCACGCGAGCUGGGUUCAGAACGUCGUGAGACAGUUCGGUCCCUAUCCUCUGUAGCCGUAGGUGAAUUGAGGAAAGCUGUCCCUAGUACGAGAGGACCGGGACGGACGCAGCUCUCGUGUGCCAGUUGUCCUGCCAAGGGCAUGGCUGGUUAGCGACCUGCGGAAAGGAUAACCGCUGAAAGCAUCUAAGCGGGAAGCCUCUUCCAAGAUGAAUUCACCCACAGGGUUAACCUGGUAAGGCCCGUGGUAGACCACCACGUUGAUAGGCCGGAAGUGUAAGCGUGGCAACACGUUCAGCUGACCGGUACUAAUCGGCCGAGGGCUUGAAUU